CUGGCUUCUGGGUCAUGGAAGUAUUGAGACUCAUUUAUUCAAUAGUCUAAAGUUAAUGAGACUAAAAGCGACUGUUGUACCAACUCAAUAAGGUUCUCUGCAUGGGAGUUGCUGUUCCACAACGUGCAAAUGAGUGUUAAUUUUCUGGUUUCAUUUCAUUAGAAGAACUGGCAAAAUGUGUAUCUGAAAUUCUGCUGUUACUUUACUAUUAUCCUUGCUAGCGAUCAUCAGCGAAGACUCGAACAGCCAUGUCAGCCGUCUGUCAAUUCUAAGCAUGGAUGCAAUGUUCCCUUGAUUUUGAUGAACACAAUCAGAACACAUGAUAGUACCCUGAAGGCAGUGGAGCAAUAUUCGAAGAAAACUGUUGAUAUUCUUACUAGCGAUCAUCAGCGAAGACUCGAACAGCCAUGUCAGCCGG